rnacentral:rRNA from 1 species
GUGAGUAACGCGUGGGAAUCUGCCCUCAGGAGGGGGAUAACGGUUGGAAACGGCCGCUAAUACCCCAUAUGCCGAGAGGUGAAAUGAAUUUCGCCUGAGGAUGAGCCCGCGUCUGAUUAGCUAGUUGGUGAGGUAAGAGCUCACCAAGGCAUCGAUCAGUAGCUGGUCUGAGAGGAUGAUCAGCCACACUGGGACUGAGACACGGCCCAGACUCCUACGGGAGGCAGCAGUGGGGAAUUUUCCGCAAUGGGCGAAAGCCUGACGGAGCAACGCCGCGUGAGGGAUGAAGGCCUCUGGGCUGUAAACCUCUUUUAUCAAGGAAGAAGAUCUGACGGUACUUGAUGAAUAAGCCACGGCUAAUUCCGUGCCAGCAGCCGCGGUAAUACGGGAGUGGCAAGCGUUAUCCGGAAUUAUUGGGCGUAAAGCGUCCGCAGGCGGCCCUACAAGUCUGCUGUUAAAAAGUGGAGCUUAACUCCAUCAUGGCAGUGGAAACUGUUGGGCUUGAGUGUGGUAGGGGCAGAGGGAAUCCCCGGUGUAGCGGUGAAAUGCGUAGAUAUCGGGAAGAACACCAGUGGCGAAGGCGCUCUGCUGGGCCAUCACUGACGCUCAUGGACGAGAGCCAGGGGAGCGAAAGGGAUUA